rnacentral:rRNA from 1 species
AGAGUUUGAUCCUGGCUCAGAUUGAACGCUGGCGGCAGGCCUAACACAUGCAAGUCGAGCGGUAGAGAGAAGCUUGCUUCUCUUGAGAGCGGCGGACGGGUGAGUAAUGCCUAGGAAUCUGCCUGGUAGUGGGGGAUAACGUUCGGAAACGGACGCUAAUACCGCGUACGUCCUACGGGAGAAAGCAGGGGACCUUCGGGCCUUGCGCUAUCAGAUGAGCCUAGGUCGGAUUAGCUAGUUGGUGAGGUAAUGGCUCACCAAGGCGACGAUCCGUAACUGGUCUGAGAGGAUGAUCAGUCACACUGGAACUGAGACACGGUCCAGACUCCUACGGGAGGCAGCAGUGGGGAAUAUUGGACAAUGGGCGAAAGCCUGAUCCAGCCAUGCCGCGUGUGUGAAGAAGGUCUUCGGAUUGUAAAGCACUUUAAGUUGGGAGGAAGGGCAGUAAAUUAAUACUUUGCUGUUUUGACGUUACCGACAGAAUAAGCACCGGCUAACUCUGUGCCAGCAGCCGCGGUAAUACAGAGGGUGCAAGCGUUAAUCGGAAUUACUGGGCGUAAAGCGCGCGUAGGUGGUUUGUUAAGUUGGAUGUGAAAUCCCCGGGCUCAACCUGGGAACUGCAUUCAAAACUGACUGACUAGAGUAUGGUAGAGGGUGGUGGAAUUUCCUGUGUAGCGGUGAAAUGCGUAGAUAUAGGAAGGAACACCAGUGGCGAAGGCGACCACCUGGACUAAUACUGACACUGAGGUGCGAAAGCGUGGGGGGCAAACAGGAUUAGAUACCCUGGUAGUCCACGCCGUAAACGAUGUCAACUAGCCGUUGGAAGCCUUGAGCUUUUAGUGGCGCAGCUAACGCAUUAAGUUGACCGCCUGGGGAGUACGGCCGCAAGGUUAAAACUCAAAUGAAUUGACGGGGGCCCGCACAAGCGGUGGAGCAUGUGGUUUAAUUCGAAGCAACGCGAAGAACCUUACCAGGCCUUGACAUCCAAUGAACUUUCUAGAGAUAGAUUGGUGCCUUCGGGAACAUUGAGACAGGUGCUGCAUGGCUGUCGUCAGCUCGUGUCGUGAGAUGUUGGGUUAAGUCCCGUAACGAGCGCAACCCUUGUCCUUAGUUACCAGCACGUCAUGGUGGGCACUCUAAGGAGACUGCCGGUGACAAACCGGAGGAAGGUGGGGAUGACGUCAAGUCAUCAUGGCCCUUACGGCCUGGGCUACACACGUGCUACAAUGGUCGGUACAGAGGGUUGCCAAGCCGCGAGGUGGAGCUAAUCCCACAAAACCGAUCGUAGUCCGGAUCGCAGUCUGCAACUCGACUGCGUGAAGUCGGAAUCGCUAGUAAUCGCGAAUCAGAAUGUCGCGGUGAAUACGUUCCCGGGCCUUGUACACACCGCCCGUC